AAGCAGAACUUCUUGCCAGUGUACUUACCAGGUUUGAACGAGAAUGUCUCAGAGCCACCGUCGAUAGUCGGACACUGGUUCGCCGUACCAGUCCCCUUAACCUCCAUGUAAGUCUUGCUCUGUAUCUCGUCGUACGUUAGCCUCUUUGGUGCUCCUUCUGCACUAGCCCCCUUCAUUUCCCAAAACAUAGUUUAAGAAUACUAAACUUUCCAAAUAAUCAUGCAAUUUAAUCUACAUAUAUUACUGUGACAUAACAAAACCACUAUAACACAAUCUUCAGAAUUUGGUUAUAAUUAAGUUAUGAUACAUAGGUAAGCAUUAAUACAAGUCACUAAGCUAUUAGCACUAGCCAACACAACUUAAGUUUGUUUCUUCAAUAAACACAAGGCCUAUAAAUUUUGUGAGAUUAAUGAGUAUAUGAAGUUAUACCGAGACAACAAGAGCAGAGGUGGCUAGAGCGAAACCGGCGAUCUUGGCGGCUUCAGAGCAUUUUCCGGCGAAGUCUUUCAGGUCAGAGUGGAGGGAGCAAGUGAGUCUAGCUUGUGAAGAGUCCAACCCAAAGGACUUGCCCACGGUUUGGUUUGAUCGGAGAUGGACAUUACG
rnacentral:lncRNA from 1 species